rnacentral:rRNA from 1 species
UACGUAGGGGCCGAGCGUUGUUCGGAUUCACUGGGCGUAAAGCGUGCGUAGGUGGUCAGGUAAGUCGGAUGUGAAAUCUCCGAGCUCAACUCGGAAACUGCAUUGGAAACUACCUGGCUCGAGGGUUGGAGGGGGGACUGGAAUGCUUGGUGUAGCAGUGAAAUGCGUAGAUAUCAAGCGGAACACCAGUGGCGAAGGCGAGUCCCUGGACAACUACUGACACUGAUGCACGAAAGCGAGGGGAGCAAACAGG